CUAUAGCCAUUAUCUUAUCGCAGAAAAACGUGACCGCGGGGUAAUGAAGACACGUGUCGAGGUUCAAUAUUAUGUAUCUGCCUCCUGAAUGAGUCUGCAUGAAACAUUUUACCUCGCAAUUGACAAUUUGGAACGUCGGCCUGGCGGAUGGCCGGAUGAAGAAGGCCAAACUGAAAAGGAUACCCAGAAGAAGCCCGAUCUCAACGCUGAUGAAAACGCAAAUUGAGAAAGUUCCUACUGCCGCGACAGCGUCCGUCUCUGCAAUGAAAAAUACGCCAGGUCGAUCAUGAACACCACGGCGGUUAUCAGCACCGCCGACAGCGUCGCGCGUGGAAUGUAAUAAAAAUAUGGUGUCAGGAAGCUCAGAGCCAACAACGCCAUGGUUCCUGUAAAAUGCAACGUCGCUUUAUUUUUGCGACACUCACACGCAGUAUGUUGCAGAGGCCGAGCGUCAGCAUCUCCUGCGUCGCGUUGACGGGCGCGCCAGCCGCUGCAAAAGUCACGAGAGCCAGGAGUUUUGGCGUCACGAGUGCCAUCAAAGACGAUGGGCCUAUCGAGACUUCCCUUAUGGUCCCGAAAACGAUGUAGACGAAACCACCGAUGAAACAAGAAUACAGGCCAUACUAAGUGCCUUCGAUUUCGCCGCGCGGUUGGAACACGAAACUUUUCAUGGACGGCCGACGGACAUUUAACGUAGCUUCUGGUUGACCUGGUCGAUCUGUUCGUCGAUCCUCUGGGAGGUACCUCUGAAUUUGUUCGGUU
rnacentral:lncRNA from 1 species